rnacentral:rRNA from 1 species
UACGUAGGGGGCAAGCGUUAUCCGGAUUUACUGGGUGUAAAGGGAGCGUAGACGGUGAUGCAAGUCAGACGUGAAAUUCCAGGGCUCAACCCUGGAACUGCGUUUGAAACUGUUCUUCUUGAGUGAUGGAGAGGCAGGCGGAAUUCCGUGUGUAGCGGUGAAAUGCGUAGAUAUACGGAGGAACACCAGUGGCGAAGGCGACUUUCUGGACUGUACCUGACGCUGAGGCGCGAAAGCGUGGGUAGCGAACGGG